rnacentral:lncRNA from 1 species
AUGUCCCAGAGGCCCCAGUCUGGACCCCAGAGCGCCCAGCCAGGUUUCCUUCCAGGAGCUCCCAGUAAUACUCAAAAUGAGACUGAAGUCUCUCCACCAAUUACUUACAGGCCCCAGGUCAGAAUCCAAGACUCUCAGCCCAUUAUCAACAGUGGCCAGGUCAGCAUCCAAGAGCCCCCGCCCAUUAUCCAUAAUCGCCGGGUCAGCAUCCAAGAGCCCCCGCUCAUUAUCCAUAAUCGCCGGACCAGCAUCCAAGGGCCCCCACCCAUUAUCAACAGUCACCGGGUCAGCAUCCAAGAACCCUUGUCCAUUAUCCACAAUCGCCGGGUCAGCAUCCAAGACCCCCCAGUAGUCCACAGUCGCUGGGCCAGUAUCCAAGAUGUGCCACCCAUUAUCAACAGUUGCUGGGUCCGUACUGAGGACACGCCAUCCACUGUGAGCGGUCAUCGGCUCAGUAUCCAAGAUACACCGUCAGUUACCUACAGUCACCGUUUGAAGACCCAAGAUGUUCCACCAAUUCUCCAAACUCACCACUUCAGCAUCCAAAACUCUCUAUUACUUCCUCACGUCUCCCUGAACAAUGUAGAGUCCCUUAACUACAAUAGUAGUCAAGUCCGUAGCCAAGACCACUUUCCAACAAGUCAGAGUCCUUGUUUGAGUACUCAAUGCCUCACAUUGCCAAUCCGGGCCAAAGUCGAUGUCCCCCCUUCAAUUACUCACAGCCCCACCGCCAGUGUCAAAAGCACUGAUUCAAUCAUCUGGACCACCCAGGAGAGUUUCAAAGACUCUAUGGACAGCUCCCUAUACAACCCAAGUACUCUAGACAACAAUAUCCAGAGCAUACGAUCAAGCAGAUCUGCUGAGAUGGAUUCUGGCGGGUGUCAGAGAAGGAGUAAAUGCAGCUAUUCACAGCUGCCCAUGGGCUGGCGGCUGCUGCAUGGAGCCAAGAAGAUCAGCCGUCAGUGCCCUGACAUCUCCUGCCUUCAUGAGUACGACCAGAAUGCUUACUUGCUGGACUUUGCCUGGGCCUUUCUCAUCCUUGCCAGUAUUGCCGGCUUCUGCCUCUGCAUCAUGCUCAUAAACAUCGUCUUCUUCACCAGCUCCAACUUACCUGUGCUGGACUUCUCCAACGUCAUCAUCAGCAUCCUGACAGGGGCCAGCAUGAUACUGGGCAUCCUGUUCUACCUGAUGCAGGCCCAUGAGUACCUGCAGGAAGGCAUGACCUACACUCUGGGGCUCAGCUUCUACCUGGCGUGGACCGGCAUCUUUCUCUUCCUGAUGAGUGGUUUCCUUUCCUAUCUGAACUACAUGAACUUCUGGUCCAUCCUGGCGCUCCAGGCCAUCUGGACUUGAUGGCGCUCCAGGACACAGGAAUGACCCCACCGCUGGCCUGCUCCCACAGCUCCCUGCCAGGCACUUGACAACCCUACUCUCUAGUCCCCCACCCCCACUGAGAGUCUUGCCCUUUUCGGUCCCCUCUUAAUCCCCCCACUCAGAUUAAUAAUUUAAAUAAUCUGUACCUUUUGCCCAGAAUAUUCUCUUAGCUCAGUACCUUCUAAGUGUUCUGUGGAAAUGCCAACUCUCACGGGGGCCAUCCCUUGGGCCCUCUGGGGUAGAGGGACAGGUGAGGGAAGCGAUUCAGAGGAAAGAGACGCAAGGCACAAGGUCAACAAAGAGGCUGUGCCAAUGGUUCCUGGCAUACCUACAAAUGGUGUCAAUAUUUGUUGAAUAGCUGAUUCUCUCCAAGCCCUUAGGGCUUCAUCUUUUACUUCCCAGACCCCCAAUAAUGUGCCCCUCCUGAGGUAAAUUCUCCCUGCACCCACACCUCACCUCCUGCCCUUACCAGCAGCCCCUGUCAUCACUUCCUCUUUCUUCUUGCCAAACUCCUCCAACACAGGGCUGUUUCUAAAAAUUGUCUAUCUGUCUAUCUAUCUAUCUAUCUAUCUAUCCAUCCAUCCAUUUUUAAGGCUGUUCCAUGUAGCAUAUUUUUGCUAUCAGAGUCAUUUGUUGAACAAGGCACGGUUGAAACUCAAGUACAAAUUUACCUCACUACCUGGGUCCCCCUACAGGCCCUUGACCUGGGGGGGGGUCCCCUCUACCUCCCUUUCACACAGUGGUUAAGCUGGAAGGGUUGAGUCUAGGCUCUGCCACCUACUAGCUCCGUGACCUGUGUCCAGGCAUUGACCCAUCCGGGUCUCAGUUUCCUCAUCUGUAAAAUGGGGGUAAUGAUAGUACUUCAAUCUAGAUAGAGUUUAACAUAACACCUAGUUUGUGCUCUUUAAGGGUUGCUAAAAUAAUCCGCUUCUCUCCCACAAAAGGCUCUCAAAUUUGUUCAUCUUUAAUGAAAAUAAGCUGCAACUAUAUGCCAGAGACUGGAUCUAUCGCAGUGAUCAAACUAGACACACAUCCUUGUUUUUAUGGCUUCACAUUUCCGCAGGGAGGCGAAACAGAUAUGUCAGGGGUAAGUGCCAUGAGGAAAAACAAAGGAGGGGGAUAGAGAUGGGUCUGGGAAGGGGCAGGGGCUCUAUGCCAAGGUAAUAUCUGAGCAGAGAUAUGAUUGAAGAGAGGAGAGCUAUGGGGACAGGUUGGGGGAAAGGCUUCCCGGCAGAGGGAACAGCAAAAGUUCUGAGCUACAAACGUCCUUGGCAGGUUCCAGGAAGAUUAGGGAAGCCAAUUACUAGUGUACCCGGAGCAAGGGAGAGGGAGACAGGGACAGAGGGGGAACAGGGGCUAGGUCCCUCCGGGCCUUGUGGGCCACAGUGAAGACUUUGCUUUUUACUCUGGGUGAGGCAAAAGCCAGUGAAGAAAGGUCUCCUUUUCUUAAUACAAGGAUAUGUUCCUUUUACAUCAGACUAUAAGCUUCGUGGGAGGUGUCUCCUCACCGGAAGAAGACGACCCAAAUGACCAGCUAAACAAUGUGUGUUCCACUCACAGAAGGGAAUAUUUGGCCCCCGUUUAAGGAAUGAGGUCACUCUGUACUGAUCCGGGGGAGACUAUUUAGGGGACAAACUGGAAUGAAAAAAAAAAAAUCGCUACCCAUAACAUGUGUGCGUAUACAGCCAUAAAAUAAAAAGUCCACACCACACUGUUGACA